UACGAAGGUGGCAAGCGUUGUUCGGAUUUACUGGGCGUACAGGGAGCGUAGGCGGUUGGGUAAGCCCUCCGUGAAAUCUCCGGGCCUAACCCGGAAAGUGCGGAGGGGACUGCUCGGCUAGAGGAUGGGAGAGGAGCGCGGAAUUCCCGGUGUAGCGGUGAAAUGCGCAGAUAUCAGGAGGAACACCAGCGGCGAAGGCGGUGCUCUGGGCCGGAACUGACACUGAGGAGCGAAAGCGUGGGUAGCAAACAGG
rnacentral:rRNA from 1 species